GACGGAGGAUGCAAGUGUUAUCCGGAAUCACUGGGCGUAAAGCGUCUGUAGGUGGUUUAAAAAGUCCACUGUUAAAAAUUGAAGCUUAACUUCAAAGAUGCAAUGGAAACUUUUAAACUUGAGUAUGGUAGGGGUAGAGGGAAUUUCCAGUGGAGCGGUGAAAUGCGUAGAGAUCGGGAAGAACAUCGGUGGCGAAGGCGCUCUACUGGACCACAACUGACACUCAGGGACGAAAGCUAGGGGAGCGAAUGGG
rnacentral:rRNA from 1 species